GUGCUAGCUUCGGCAGCACAUACGCUAAAAUUGUAAGGAUACAGAGAAUAUUAGCAUGACCCCUGCGCAAAGAUGACAUGCAAAUUCUUGAAGCGUUCCGUAUUUAU